UACGUAGGGUCCGAGCGUUGUCCGGAAUUACUGGGCGUAAAGAGCUCGUAGGUGGUUUGUCGCGUUGUUCGUGAAAACUCACAGCUCAACUGUGGGCGUGCGGGCGAUACGGGCAGACUAGAGUACUGCAGGGGAGACUGGAAUUCCUGGUGUAGCGGUGGAAUGCGCAGAUAUCAGGAGGAACACCGGUGGCGAAGGCGGGUCUCUGGGCAUUAACUGACGCUGGAGGAGCGAAAGCAUGGGGAGCGAACAGG
rnacentral:rRNA from 1 species